rnacentral:rRNA from 1 species
CACGUAGGGGGCGAGCGUUGUCCGGAUUCAUUGGGCGUAAAGAGCUCGUAGGCGGCUCAGUAAGUCGGGUGUGAAACCCUCAGGCUCAACCUGGGGACGCCACUCGAUACUGCUGUGGCUAGAGUCCAGUAGAGGAGUGUGGAAUUCCCGGUGUAGCGGUGAAAUGCGCAGAUAUCGGGAGGAACAUCAGUGGCGAAAGCGACUUCCUGGACCAAUACUGACGCUCAUGUGCGAAAGCGUGGGGAGCAAACAGG